GCGAUGGUGGCGGAAAUGGCAUACGCGCACGUUUGAGGGGCGUGUCCGCAAGGGUACGGGUUCAAGUCCCGUUCAUCGCA
rnacentral:tRNA from 1 species